UGGCUCAGGACGAACGCUGGCGGCGUGCUUAACACAUGCAAGUCGAACGAUGAACCACUUCGGUGGGGAUUAGUGGCGAACGGGUGAGUAACACGUGGGCAAUCUGCCCUUCACUCUGGGACAAGCCCUGGAAACGGGGUCUAAUACCGGAUAACACUUCCACUCUCCUGGGUGGAGGUUAAAAGCUCCGGCGGUGAAGGAUGAGCCCGCGGCCUAUCAGCUUGUUGGUGAGGUAAUGGCUCACCAAGGCGACGACGGGUAGCCGGCCUGAGAGGGCGACCGGCCACACUGGGACUGAGACACGGCCCAGACUCCUACGGGAGGCAGCAGUGGGGAAUAUUGCACAAUGGGCGAAAGCCUGAUGCAGCGACGCCGCGUGAGGGAUGACGGCCUUCGGGUUGUAAACCUCUUUCAGCAGGGAAGAAGCGAAAGUGACGGUACCUGCAGAAGAAGCGCCGGCUAACUACGUGCCAGCAGCCGCGGUAAUACGUAGGGCGCGAGCGUUGUCCGGAAUUAUUGGGCGUAAAGAGCUCGUAGGCGGCUUGUCACGUCGGGUGUGAAAGCCCGGGGCUUAACCCCGGGUCUGCAUUCGAUACGGGCAGGCUAGAGUGUGGUAGGGGAGAUCGGAAUUCCUGGUGUAGCGGUGAAAUGCGCAGAUAUCAGGAGGA
rnacentral:rRNA from 1 species